CAAUGAGAUUGCCUUAAGAGGCUGCUCUGGUUGGAGUUGGAGCCCGGAGCUACAACUGGCAGACAGAUGGGAAGACACAGAGAGAGAAAGCAGCCACAGGCCAAAAGAGCACUCUCACCAGGAACCGACCACGCCAGCAUCUCCAUCCUGGACUUCCCAGCCUCUGGAAUGGUGAAACUCCAGAUGACCUUCCCGGACACCUAAUGACCUUCAGAGUUGGAUGAAAAAGUUCCAGAUCAGUCAACGGCAGAGGUGGCAGCUGGGUGGAUAAAUAAUUGACCCUAAUCUCUUUAUGAUUUAAAAAGUAAUCUCUUUCUUUUUUUCCCCUAGAGUCAAAGGUUUCACAGGGUGAGGGGAACAAAUUCGCUUACU